rnacentral:lncRNA from 1 species
UUUUUUCUCCCUUCUUGAACCCUUUUUCCUUGUCGAACUCUUCAUCUGCCGUCUUCAAACGUUAUUUUUUACUUUAUAGCAACGUAAUUAUCAAACAUAUUUUUUAUUUUUUUAUUUUUACUCAAUGAUAAAAAUUUAAAAAAUAAAAAUAUUUUUAAAAAUUAAAAAUAUAAUUAAAUAUAUUUAAAAAUAAAUAAAUAAGAUGAGUUCUUCUGGGCUGCAAUUCUCAUAGAG